rnacentral:lncRNA from 1 species
UUGAUGGACGCGAGCUUAAUGAACCCAGGAUAAAGGAAUUAGCCCAAGCAGAAGGCAGAAAAAGCAUUAAGAGCAGGCAAAGACUACAUUGGCAUAGUGGCAACAACAACCACUGCAACUGAAGGCCAAUGACCACAUGACUGACUGCUCUAGACUGAAUAUCUGUGUUUCCCCAAAUUCCUAUGCUGAAAUCCUAACACCUGACGUGAUGGUAUUUGGAGAUGGGGCCUUUGGGAGGUGAUUCGGUGAUGCAGAUGGAAGCUUCAUGAAUGAGAUUAGUGCCCUCAUCAAAAAGACACCAGAGAGCUACUUUAAUCCUCCCACCACGUAAGAACACAGGGAGAAGAGGUCCCUCUAUGAAUCACCAGACACCAAAUACGACCUUGAUCUUGGACUUCCCAGCCUCCAGAACCAUGAGUUUACGCCACACAAUCUAUGGUGUUUUUGUUACAGUAGCCCGAACAGACUGAAACUCUGACCGUGGAAGUUAUUCUAUUUUCUUUUCUAAAAUAGUUGAUCAUCAAAACAGAUUGACUGGAUUGCAUAAACCCCUCUCAGUCUUGGGACUUCUUUUGGGAAGGAAGACCUCAGGGAUGGAAGAAAUCUUCCCUCCACAGGCAGAUUGAGGGGUUAGAGUAACUUAAUUAGAAUAUUGAAAGAAAGGUACCUUAUUUUGCUUCCAAAGCUGGUAACUCCGUACAGAACAAUUCCAUAUUUCACUGUGCAGAUUAUCAGGGAGCCAAUAAAAAGGAUGUGUCCAUUCAACUGCUGACUGUCUGUAGUACUGAUUUAAUGGUCUCAAGAAAAGUUUGAGAAAUGAGUAUUUCCUGCUGGGAGCUGUGCUCACAUAAAGAAAUGGAAGAGCCUGCAAACAGAGGAUAGACAGUGAGAAAACAAGUUUGAAGCUCGUCUUCAUGAAUUAAUUAUAAAAUGCCUGAAGUAGAAGAUUGGAUCUGGUUUAAAAAAUAAAAAUGUCCUGCAAUUUAAAUCACUGAGCUGUCCCCAUAACCAUCAGCCUCUGGCAAUGAUCUCUGAACUCAGGUCUUUCUUUUCACAGUCCUUGUGAAAUAAUGAAUCACUUCUUGAAGAUGACAGGUGGAUAAAAUAAGAGAUGAAACAACAAAUAAGAAAAUAAGCCAUUCUCUUCCAGGAAAAAUGGAACAAGGUGCCUUCAAAUCUCCUAAGCUUUGCUGUGAAAAGUUUCUUUCUUAAAUAGUUAGAGCAAAUAUUUACUUAGUUCUGCCACAUAUCCAGGACCAGGCUUUUGGAAUGAGUUACAGUCUUCUUUCAAGUGUUUCACUACUGAUGAAAAUAUUCUGUAAUAUAAUGGCUUUAUUUUUAACACUUUCUUUUUGAAACAUUGUGUAGUCAAAACUUCCCAAGGCCAAAUAGGUUUUGGUCAGACAAAUUAGAUCAUGCCCAGCAAGUGGCAGCAUGACAAAAGGAUGCCUUAAAUACUGCCAGGGGAACCAUCCCAGUCUAUAGGUAAUAAUCAUUUGAUUAGAAACUUUGUUCAUGUCAUUGUGGGGGUCAAUUAUCAUUGCUGUCUACAGGGAAAACCAGGGACUUGUAUAUCUCAGAGCCUGACUUCACUUUCUCUUUCAAUGGUAAUUAACCUUGGAGGCCUGUCCCUGCUACCUGGAAACUGUCCUUGAAGAGAAGAUUUGUGGGCAAUAGGUUACUGAUGCAAACACUCGGGAAUAACACCUGUGAGGGUGUGAGAGACGCAAGAUGGAGCAGAGGAAGAAGUUGAGCUGAUGCUGCUGCAGCCGAGGCCUGAACCUCUCCCAUAGGACGUUGCCUGAAUUUAGGCGAGGAGGCAAAGUUUCAAUAUUCCACCUUAAUCACUUUGAGAUGUGGGCCAUCCUCAGGGAGGGACCUCGCUUGGGUAAGGCAGCUUCCUUUGGCCGAGAGAAAUGCCUGGAGACAGUGCUGGAGUCCUCAGCAGCUAACAUUCCCUCCCCUGCCCACCCCACCUCCGGGGGAACACAUUCCUUGGUUCUGGCUGGGAUGGAGAGAGAUGGAGGGAGAAUCUGGCUGACACAGCAUAGAUCCACUGCAAGG